GACACGACACCCUACAGCCACUCAGCAAACCUGUCCCCUCCAGGCCCCGGGCACCCCCGCACCUACCUCACUUACCGGCGGGCAGCAGAGGGGGCAGGGCUGCAUGCCCUGGGCGUCACUGACCUCUGCCUGGUGCUGCCCAGUAAGGGCGAGGGCACUCCUCAUACUUACUGCCGGCUGCCCCGCAACCUCAACCCUGGCAUGUGGGGCCCAGCAGUGUACCUGUGCUAUAAGGUGGGCCUGGCGAAGGCCAACACGCUGGUGUACGAGGCAGGUGAGUGGCCCCUUUAUCCCUCCAAUCCUGUGACCCUACAUCCCUUUGCCCUGGUGCCUCUUGGCAGGCACCUUAAGUGUCCCCGGAGUUUACUUUCUCUUUGCUACUUGGGCCUUCUCUGGGAUUCCUUGGUUCCUUUCCCUUGGAGUCUGAUGGACCCUGCUCCUUUUGGGUACCCCCAACUCUGCUGGGGGUGCAGAGCUGCUGGGCCGCUACCCGGAGGAGGACAAUGAGGCGUUCCCGCUGCCCGAGUCAGUGCCCGUCUUCUGCCUGCCCA
rnacentral:sRNA from 1 species